rnacentral:rRNA from 1 species
UACGUAGGUGGCUAGCGUUGUCCGGAUUUACUGGGCGUAAAGGGCGCGUAGGCGGGAUGGCAAGUCGGUCGUGAAAUCCUUCGGCUCAACCGAAGAACGUCGAUCGAUACUGCUGUUCUUGAGGGUUGCAGAGGAGACUGGAAUUCCCGGUGUAGCGGUGAAAUGUGUAGAGAUCGGGAGGAACACCGGUGGCGAAGGCGGGUCUCUGGGCAAUUCCUGACGCUGAGGCGCGAAAGCGUGGGGAGCAAACGGG